AAAAAAGUCAGAGACAAAAUAGAGGCUGUCGUGGGUGACAUCAACAACGUUUUGUCCACAUUUGAAAAGACACCUUCAGAGAAGGAGGCUUUGCUCAAUUUUGAAGAAUCCCAGAAAGAACUCGAGGCCUCUGUUUCAAAGGCUGUGCAACUUGUCAGUCAAAACUUAAGUCCUGAAGAAUGUAUUUCAAGAUAUGAGGAAGCUUUUAAUGCCCUGGACAGUAAAG